rnacentral:misc_RNA from 1 species
GAAAUGCGAUAAGUAAUGUGAAUUGCAGAUUUCAGUGAAUCAUCGAAUCUUUGAACGCACCUUGCGCUCCUUGGUAUUCCUUGGAGCAUGCCUGUUUGAGUAUCAUGAAAUCUUCAAAGUAAAUCUUUUGUUAACUCAAUUGGUUUCUACUUUGGUAUUGGAGGUCUUUGCAGCUUCACACCUGCUCCUCUUUGUUCAUUAGCUGGAUCUCAGUGUUAUGCUUGGUUCCACUCGGCGUGAUAAGUUAUCUAUCGCUGAGGACACUGUAAAAGGUGGCCAAGGUAAAUGCAGAUGAACCGCUUCUAAUAGUCCAUUGACUUGGACAAUACUUUUAUGAUCUGAUCUCAAAUCAGGUAGGACUACCCGCUGAACUUAAGC